rnacentral:rRNA from 1 species
GACGAACGCUGGCGGCGUGCUUAACACAUGCAAGUCGAACGAAGUGGCGAACGGGUGAGUAAUACGUGAGUAACCUGCCCUCCUUUUUGGGAUAAGCCUUGGAAACGGGGUCUAAUACCGAAUAAAGGGGGAUGGGCUCGCGGCCUAUCAGCUUGUUGGUGGGGUGGUGGCCUACCAAGGCGGUGACGGGUAGCCGGCCUGAGAGGGGGACGGUCCGGAUUGGGACUGGGUUUCGACGCAGACUCCUGCCGUAGGGGGCAGUGGGGGAUAGUGAACAAUGGGCGUAAGCCUGAUGCAGCGACGCCGCGUGGGGGAUUAAGGCUUUCGGGUUGUAAACCUCUUUCGGGACCGAACGGGUGGGUGGAUAGGAAGCGCCGGCUAACUACGUGCCAGCAGCCGCGGUAAUUC